rnacentral:misc_RNA from 1 species
GAUGAAGAACGCAGCGAAAUGCGAUAAGUAAUGUGAAUUGCAGAAUUCAGUGAAUCAUCGAAUCUUUGAACGCACCUUGCGCCCUUUGGCUAUUCCGAAGGGCAUGCCUGUUUGAGUAUCAUGAACACCUCAACUCUCAUGGUUUGCCAUGAUGAGCUUGGACUUUGGGGGUCUUGCCGGCCUAUGGGUCGGCUCCUCUCAAAUUAAUCAGCUUGCCAGUGUUUGGUGGCAUCACAGGUGUGAUAACUAUCUACGCUUGUGGUUUUCCAUCAGGUAACCUUCAGUGAUGGAGGUUCGCUGGGGCUCAUAAAUGUCUCUCCUCAGUGAGGACAGCUUUUUUGAACGUUUGAUCUCAAAUCAGGUAGGACUACCCGCUGAACUUAAGCAUAUCAAUAAGCGGGGA